rnacentral:rRNA from 1 species
GAUGAACGCUAGCGGCAGGCUUAACACAUGCAAGUCGAGGGGCAUCGAGAGUAGCAAUACUUGUCGGCGACCGGCGCAAGGGUGCGUAACACGUGAGCAACAUACCCGUUUCAGGAGGAUAACCGGAGGAAACUCUGCCUAAUACUCCAUGACAUCAUCAAACGGCAUCGUUUGAUGAUUAAAGAUUUAUCGGAAACGGCUUGGCUCGCGGGACAUUAGCUCGUUGGUGAGGUAACGGCUCACCAAGGCGACGAUGUCUAGGGGUUCUGAGAGGAAGGUCCCCCACACUGGAACUGAGACACGGUCCAGACUCCUACGGGAGGCAGCAGUGAGGAAUAUUGGACAAUGGUCGGAAGACUGAUCCAGCCAUGCCGCGUGAAGGUUACUGUCCUAUGGAUAUUAAACUUCUUUUGUAUGAGAGCAAUAAGGUGCACGUGUGCACCGAUGAGAGUAUCAUACGAAUAAGCAUCGGCUAAC